GAGAGCUUUGUGCCGGAGAAGUCUGGCAUUGACUAUCCUAUCAACAGCCUUGAUACUGAAACCAUUAUGAAAUGCCAGUGAUAAGAAUACACAACAACCAACGACUCACAGGCUUGUUAUGGUUUCCAUUGUGGAAUAUACAAAAUCAAUCCCAUACGAGCUUGGGACAGAUACAGGCAAAAGAGGAGCAGCUUCUCUGCUAAGAUUUGAUAGUGACUGGAGCGAUGACCAGGAUGGAGAUCAGUGAUGGAUGACAGACUGAAGAACACAACUGGAGAAGGAGGGCUUGUAGUAGGAGAUAUAUCAGAAAACUAAGGAAUCUGUUGAAAACGGUGAUGUUUCCAAAAGACACCAUGAGUACUGAAGGCUCAGAACUACCACAGGUAAGAAAAUCAGCUUCUCUUAAGUAUUUAUGUCUCACUUAAGUAAUUCUUGGCACCUAUCACUAUAAUG
rnacentral:lncRNA from 1 species